GUACCCUUAGCUCAGUUGGUUAGAGCAGACGACUCAUAACCGUUCGGUCGUAGGUUCGAGUCCUACAGGGUACA
rnacentral:tRNA from 8 species